rnacentral:rRNA from 1 species
GACAGAGGGUGCAAACGUUGUUCGGAAUUACUGGGCGUAAAGCGUGUGUAGGCGGUCUUACAAGUCAGGUGUGAAAGCCCCGGGCUCAACCCGGGAAGUGCACUUGAUACUGUCUGACUAGAGUACUGGAGAGGUUGGUGGAAUUCUCGGUGUAGAGGUGAAAUUCGUAGAUAUCGAGAGGAACACCUGUGGCGAAGGCGGCCAACUGGACAGAUACUGACGCUGAGACACGAAAGCGUGGGGAGCAAACAGG